rnacentral:rRNA from 1 species
CCUACGGGUGGCAGCAGUGAGGAAUAUUGGUCAAUGGACGGAAGUCUGAACCAGCCAUGCCGCGUGCAGGAAGAUGGCUCUAUGAGUUGUAAACUGCUUUUGUACAAGGGUAAACCUGAAGACGCGUAUUCAGCUGAAAGUACUGUACGAAUAAGGAUCGGCUAACUCCGUGCCAGCAGCCGCGGUAAUACGGAGGAUCGAAGCGUUAUCCGGAUUUAUUGGGGUUAAAGGGUGUGUAGGCGGAUAGGUAAGUUAGAGGGGAAAUGGCCGGGCUUAACGCGGGAACUGCCGCUAAUACUGUCGGUCGAGAGUGUAGGAGCGGUAGGCGGAAUGUGUGGUGUAGCGGUGAAAUGCGUAGAGAU